rnacentral:rRNA from 1 species
UACGGGGGGCAAGCGUUGUUCGGAAUUACUGGGCGUAAAGGGCUCGUAGGCGGCCAACUAAGUCGGAUGUGAAAUCCCCAGGCUUAACCUGGGAAUUGCAUCCGAUACUGGAUGGCUUGAAUCCGGGAGAGGGAUGCGGAAUUCCAGGUGUAGCGGUGAAAUGCGUAGAUAUCUGGAGGAACACCGGUGGCGAAGGCGGCAUCCUGGACCGGCAUUGACGCUGAGGAGCGAAAGCCAGGGGAGCAAACGGG